rnacentral:rRNA from 1 species
GGAUUGUCCUUUGGACAAUGGUAGGAGAGCGUUCUAAGGGCGUUGAAGCAUGAUCGUAAGGACAUGUGGAGCGCUUAGAAGUGAGAAUGCCGGUGUGAGUAGCGAAAGACGGGUGAGAAUCCCGUCCACCGAUUGACUAAGGUUUCCAGAGGAAGGCUCGUCCGCUCUGGGUUAGUCGGGUCCUAAGCUGAGGCCGACAGGCGUAGGCGAUGGAUAACAGGUUGAUAUUCCUGUACCACCUAUAAUCGUUUUAAUCGAUGGGGGGACGCAGUAGGAUAGGCGAAGCGUGCGAUUGGAUUGCACGUCUAAGCAGUAAGGCUGAGUAUUAGGCAAAUCCGGUACUCGUUAAGGCUGAGCUGUGAUGGGGAGAAGACAUUGUGUCUUCGAGUCGUUGAUUUCACACUGCCGAGAAAAGCCUCUAGAUAGAAAAUAGGUGCCCGUACCGCAAACCGACACAGGUAGUCAAGAUGAGAAUUCUAAGGUGAGCGAGCGAACUCUCGUUAAGGAACUCGGCAAAAUGACCCCGUAACUUCGGGAGAAGGGGUGCUCUUUAGGGUUAACGCCCAGAAGAGCCGCAGUGAAUAGGCCCAAGCGACUGUUUAUCAAAAACACAGGUCUCUGCUAAACCGUAAGGUGAUGUAUAGGGGCUGACGCCUGCCCGGUGCUGGAAGGUUAAGAGGAGUGGUUAGCUUCUGCGAAGCUACGAAUCGAAGCCCCAGUAAACGGCGGCCGUAACUAUAACGGUCCUAAGGUAGCGAAAUUCCUUGUCGGGUAAGUUCCGACCCGCACGAAAGGCGUAACGAUUUGGGCACUGUCUCAACGAGAGACUCGGUGAAAUCAUAGUACCUGUGAAGAUGCAGGUUACCCGCGACAGGACGGAAAGACCCCGUGGAGCUUUACUGUAGCCUGAUAUUGAAAUUCGGCACAGCUUGUACAGGAUAGGUAGGAGCCUUUGAAACGUGAGCGCUAGCUUACGUGGAGGCGCUGGUGGGAUACUACCCUAGCUGUGUUGGCUUUCUAACCCGCACCACUUAUCGUGGUGGGAGACAGUGUCAGGCGGGCAGUUUGACUGGGGCGGUCGCCUCCUAAAAGGUAACGGAGGCGCUCAAAGGUUCCCUCAGAAUGGUUGGAAAUCAUUCAUAGAGUGUAAAGGCAUAAGGGAGCUUGACUGCGAGACCUACAAGUCGAGCAGGG